rnacentral:ncRNA from 1 species
CGAGCCUCUGGAGAGACUACCGAUUGCAUUAACUUGCAAUAAUAGGUGGCGCCGAAGGCGAAAGUGUCGCAGUGUGUUAAGCGACGCGAAACGCUCAGGCAAAAGGACAGAGGAGA